CACUUGUUCACUGGGAAGCGCACGCCCUGGCGAGGGAUUCUGCUUUUUGGACCACCCGGCACCGGGAAGUCCUACCUGGCCAAGGCCGUGGCCACCGAGGCCAACAACUCCACCUUCUUCUCCGUGUCGUCCUCCGACCUGAUGUCCAAGUGGCUGGGAGAGAGCGAGAAGCUGGUGAAGAACCUCUUUGAGCUGGCGCGGCAGCACAAGCCCUCCAUCAUCUUCAUCGACGAGGUGGACUCGCUGUGCGGCUCCCGCAACGAGAACGAGAGCGAGGCGGCGCGGCGCAUCAAGACGGAGUUCCUGGUGCAGAUGCAGGGUG